AUCCAGUUGACGAGUCUCAGAGAGGACGAAACGCGCGUCCUGUAU
rfam:Schistosoma haematobium scaffold242_37, whole genome shotgun sequence.